CUACGGGUUGCUGCAGUGGGGAAUAUUGGACAAUGGGCGAAAGCCUGAUCCAGCAAUGCCGCGUGUGUGAAGAAGGCCUGCGGGUUGUAAAGCACUUUCAGUUGGGAAGAUGAUGACGUUACCAACAGAAGAAGCACCGGCUAACUCCGUGCCAGCAGCCGCGGUAAUACGGAGGGUGCAAGCGUUAAUCGGAAUUACUGGGCGUAAAGCGCGCGUAGGCGGCUUGGUCAGUCAGAUGUGAAAGCCCCGGGCUUAACCUGGGAAUUGCAUUUGAUACUGCCUGGCUAGAGUGUGGUAGAGGGAAGUGGAAUUCCAGGUGUAGCGGUGAAAUGCGUAGAUAUCUGGAGGAACAUCAGUGGCGAAGGCGGCUUCCUGGACCAACACUGACGCUGAGGUGCGAAAGCGUGGGUAGCAAACAGGAUUAGAUACCCUAGUAGUC
rnacentral:rRNA from 1 species